UACGUAGGUGACAAGCGUUGUCCGGAUUUACUGGGCGUAAAGAGCGCGCAGGCGGUCGAUCAAGUCGAGUGUGAAAGCCCCCGGCUCAACUGGGGAGGGUCAUUCGAUACUGAUCGACUCGAAGGCAGGAGAGGGUAGUGGAAUUCUCGGUGUAGCAGUGAAAUGCGUAGAUCUCGAGAGGAACACCAGUGGCGAAGGCGGGUCUCUGGACAACACCUGACGCUGAGGCACGAAAGCCAGGGGAGCAAACGGG
rnacentral:rRNA from 1 species